rnacentral:rRNA from 1 species
GGAAUCUUCGGCAAUGGGGGCAACCCUGACCGAGCAACGCCGCGUGAGUGAAGAAGGUUUUCGGAUCGUAAAGCUCUGUUGUAAGAGAAGAACGUGUGUGAGAGUGGAAAGUUCACACAGUGACGGUAACUUACCAGAAAGGGACGGCUAACUACGUGCCAGCAGCCGCGGUAAUACGGAAGGUCCGGGCGUUAUCCGGAUUUAUUGGGUUUAAAGGGAGCGCAGGCCGAUGGUUAAGCGUGACGUGAAAUGUAGCCGCUCAACGGCUGAACUGCGUCGCGAACUGGCUGUCUUGAGUGAGUUCGAUGUGGGCGGAAUUCGUGGUGUAGCGGUGAAAUGCUUAGAUAUCACGAAGAACUCCGAUUGCGAAGGCAGCCCACAAGGCCUUUACUGACGCUAAAGCUCGAAGGUGCGGGUAUCGAACA